rnacentral:rRNA from 1 species
GAUGAACGCUGGCGGCGUGCCUAAUACAUGCAAGUCGAGCGAACAGACGAUGAGCUUUCUCCUCUGCCGUUAGCGGCGGACGGGUGAGUAACACGUGGAUAACCUACCUAUAUUACUGGGAUGAUUUCGUGAAACCGCAGCUGAUACCAGAUAAUAUAAUGUACCGCAUGGUUCAAUAGUGAAAGACGGUUUUCCUGACACUUUUAGAUGGAUCCGUGCUGCAUUAGCUAGUUGGUAAGGUAACGGCUUACCAAGGCAACGGUGCGGAUCCGACCCGAUGGGGUGGUCGACCACACUGGAACUGAGAAAAGGUCCAGACUCCUAAGGGAGGCAGCAGUAGGGAAUCUUCCGAAAUGGGCGAAAGCCUGACGGAGCAAAGCCGCGUGAGUGAUGAAGGUCUUCGGAUCGUAAAACUCUGUUAUUAGGGAAGAACAAAUGUGUAAGUAACUAUGCACGGUUUGACGGUACCUAAUCAGAAAGCCACGGCUAACUACGUG